rnacentral:miRNA from 9 species
CCAGGUUAGGGUAUCGGGGUUA